AACGAACGCUGGCGGCAUGCCUAACACAUGCAAGUCGAACGAGACCUUCGGGUCUAGUGGCGCACGGGUGCGUAACGCGUGGGAACCUGCCCUUAGGUUCGGAAUAACUCCCCGAAAGGGGUGCUAAUACCGGAUAAUGUCUUCGGACCAACGAUUUAUCGCCGUUGGAUGGGCCCGCGUUGGAUUAGCUAGUUGGUAGGGUAAAAGCCUACCAAGGCGACGAUCCAUAGCUGGUCUGAGAGGAUGCUCAGCCACACUGGGACUAAGACACGGCCCAGACUCCUACGUGAGGAAGAAGUGGGGAAGAUUGGAAACUGGGGGAUAGUAUGAUCCAGCAAUGCCACGUGAGAGAUCAAGCCCUUAGGGUUGUAAAGCUCUUUUACCCGGGAUGAUAAUGACAGUACCGGGAGAAUAAGCUCCGGCUAACUCCGUG
rnacentral:rRNA from 1 species